rnacentral:rRNA from 1 species
CACGUAGGGUGCGAGCGUUGUCCGGAAUUAUUGGGCGUAAAGAGCUCGUAGGCGGUGUGUCGCGUCGGCCGUGAAAACUUGCAGCUUAACUGUGGGCGUGCGGUCGAUACGGGCAUCACUAGAGUGCGGUAGGGGAGACUGGAAUUCCUGGUGUAGCGGUGGAAUGCGCAGAUAUCAGGAGGAACACCGAUGGCGAAGGCAGGUCUCUGGGCCGCAACUGACGCUGAGGAGCGAAAGCAUGGGGAGCGAACAGG